rnacentral:rRNA from 1 species
GGGGGGGGGGGGGGGGGGGGGGGGGGGGGGGGGGGGGGGGGGGUGAGGGGGGCUUGGGGCGGGGGUCGGCGGCGGACGGGUGGGUGAUGCCUAGGAAUCUGCCUGGGAGUGGGGGAUAAGGUCCGGAAACGGGCGCUCAUACCGCAUCCGUCCUGAGGGAGAAAGUGGGGGAUCUUCGGACCUCACGCUAUCAGAUGAGCCUAGGUCGGAUUAGCUAGUUGGUGGGGUAACGGCCUACCAAGGCGACGAUCCGUAACUGGUCUGAGAGGAUGAUCAGUCACACUGGAACUGAGACACGGUCCAGACUCCUACGGGAGGCAGCAGUGGGGAAUAUUGGACAAUGGGCGAAAGCCUGAUCCAGCCAUGCCGCGUGUGUGAAGAAGGUCUUCGGAUUGUAAAGCACUUUAAGUUGGGAGGAAGGGCAGUAAGUUAAUACCUUGCUGUUUUGACGUUACCAACAGAAUAAGCACCGGCUAACUUCGUG